CCAUAUAACCAUCCCAGAAUGGCUCAUCAGACCAUUGAUCACACGGUGAUGAUCUUGGCGUUCACUUCACCGGCGAUGAGGAAGUCCCAUCUCCAGCGAGCGGCGGCGUCAUCCCUUUCUCUACAGUGACGACGAGGACCAGCGGUCCCUCCAAGCGGUGAUUAUAUUGGAAGAUCAAGUAUGUAAGCUGGCUUCAGUACCUCUGGGAUGAUAUAAAGAAAGGAGAGAUAGAAAUACCGGAUUUUGUGAAAAAUCAUGAUGAUAUUCUUGAGCAUAGACCACUCAUAGAUAUGGUAUUAAACCUGAUCCCUUUCACUUGACUGGGAUACCUGCAUCUACCCACUCAUUUGGUAAGUACGAGGAGAGAUGGGCGGGAAGGGAUUAUGUGUCGUAGUAUGUGUAUUGCCUCGUUUCCUGAGAUAACCUUAACCUUUGUACAGAAUGACCGGUAUUUGUAUUUCUUAAGCUCAUCUUUGAGUUUCUUUGUUUUUGGUCGUGGAUCUAAACCUGGCUGUGUACGAAUAGAACUACAUGUUUUCUAUGCCACAAGAAAUGUAUUUCUGGAGAUUAAUCUACAGAAUAAUUCCUUGUUCA